CCUACGGGUGGCAGCAGUGAGGAAUAUUGGUCAAUGGACGAGAGUCUGAACCAGCCAAGUAGCGUGAAGGAUGACUGCCCUAUGGGUUGUAAACUUCUUUUAUAUGGGAAUAAAACGUUCCACGUGUGGGAUUUUGUAUGUACCAUAUGAAUAAGGAUCGGCUAACUCCGUGCCAGCAGCCGCGGUAAUACGGAGGAUCCGAGCGUUAUCCGGAUUUAUUGGGUUUAAAGGGAGCGUAGGUGGAGUGUUAAGUCAGUUGUGAAAGUUUGCGGCUCAACCGUAAGAUUGCAGUUGAAACUGGCAGUCUUGAGUACAGGAGAGGUAGGCGGAAUGCGUGGUGUAGCGGUGAAAUGCAUAGAUAUCACGAAGAACUCCGAUUGCGAAGGCAGUUCACUGGACUGCAACUGACACUGAGGCUCGAAAGUGUGGGUAUCAAACAGGAUUAGAUACCCCAGUAGUC
rnacentral:rRNA from 1 species